AGCACCACGAACGGGUGGAGCUUGCGGUUUAAUUGGAUUCAACGCCGGAAUCUUACCGGGACCGACAGCAAUAUGAAGGCCAGGCUGAAGACUUUGCCGGAUUAGCUGAGAGGUGGUGCAUGGCCGUCGUCAGUUCGUACUGUGAAGCAUCCUGUUAAGUCAGGCAACGAGCGAGACCCACGCCCACAGUUGCCAGCGUACUCUCUGGAGUGACGGGUACACUGUGGGGACCGCCGCUGCUAAAGCGGAGGAAGGAAUGGGCAACGGUAGGUCAGUAUGCCCCGAAUAUCCCGGGCUACACGCGAGCUACAAUGGUUGGUACAAUGGGUAUCUACCCCGAAAGGGGACGGGAAUCUCCUAAAACCAAUCUUAGUUCGGAUUGAGGGCUGCAACUCGCCCACAUGAAGCUGGAAUCUGUAGUAAUCGUGUCUCAAAAUGGCACGGUGAAUAUGUCCCUGCUCCUU
rnacentral:rRNA from 1 species